rnacentral:rRNA from 1 species
UCGACGAUGAAUCUUCUAGCUUGCUAGAAGUGGAUUAGUGGCGCACGGGUGAGUAAUGCAUAGGUUAUGUGCCCUUUAGUCUGGGAUAGCCACUGGAAACGGUGAUUAAUACUGGAUACUCCCUACGGGGGAAAGUUUUUCGCUAAAGGAUCAGCCUAUGUCCUAUCAGCUUGUUGGUGAGGUAAUGGCUCACCAAGGCUAUGACGGGUAUCCGGCCUGAGAGGGUGAUCGGACACACUGGAACUGAGACACGGUCCAGACUCCUACGGGAGGCAGCAGUAGGGAAUAUUGCUCAAUGGGGGAAACCCUGAAGCAGCAACGCCGCGUGGAGGAUGAAGGUUUUAGGAUUGUAAACUCCUUUUGUUAGAGAAGAUUAUGACGGUAUCUAACGAAUAAGCACCGGCUAACUCCGUGCCAGCAGCCGCGGUAAUACGGAGGGUGCAAGCGUUACUCGGAAUCACUGGGCGUAAAGAGUGCGUAGGCGGGGUAAUAAGUCAGAUGUGAAAUCCUGUAGCUUAACUACAGAACUGCAUUUGAAACUGUUACUCUGGAGUGUGGGAGAGGUAGGUGGAAUUCUUGGUGUAGGGGUAAAAUCCGUAGAGAUCAAGAGGAAUACUCAUUGCGAAGGCGACCUGCUGGAACAUUACUGACGCUGAUGCACGAAAGCGUGGGGAGCAAACAGGAUUAGAUACCCUGGUAGUCCACGCCCUAAACGAUGGAUGCUAGUUGUUGCCUUGCUUGUCAGGGCAGUAAUGCAGCUAACGCAUUAAGCAUCCCGCCUGGGGAGUACGGUCGCAAGAUUAAAACUCAAAGGAAUAGACGGGGACCCGCACAAGCGGUGGAGCAUGUGGUUUAAU